rnacentral:misc_RNA from 1 species
GGCAGUGCCGUGGCGCGACAGAUGCAAAAUGGCCGUGUUUUCUUCGCACGAAGACGAAAUUUUAAUAGAAUUAGUUAGUAAAAACGCACCUUUAUUCGAUACGAGGCUUCAAGCUUAUAAAGAUAAUACUGUGAGAGACAAUAUUUGGGAAGAAAUUGGAAAAGCGUUGAAUAAAACAAUUAAAACGCGUCGUGAUGGAAUACAACCGUUUAGUUUAGUAACUGCAAGCAUACUGAGUUUCGUAU